GGGCUCGUGGUGAAAUGGAUAUCAUUUCUGACUACGGAUCAGACGUUUGGGGUUCGAAUCCCUACGGGCCCACCC
rnacentral:tRNA from 1 species